rnacentral:lncRNA from 1 species
ACCAAGAGUGAUCAACUGACCCGGGCAGCCAGAAGAGAUGAUAGGGAUACAUAUUCUUAACGGUGAUGGAGUGGUUUCAUAGAACAAAAUAGGCUGUUCCUGCCCGAGGGAACAUGGACUUCAGUGGAAGAGACACUCAGAAGAGAGCUGCGAAACAAGUAAGAAUUUCAGAUUGUGCUCAGUUCUUUGAAGAAAAACACAUGGGAUAAGUGAGAGACGUGUGACUCUGGGGGCAGAGGCUGUGUGGUCAGGAGGGGGCCCGUCAGUCAAAAGGCCUUGGUUGCCAAGCCAUUGAAACUCCUUCUGCGUCAUGUUGGGCAGAUUACAAUGUAGAUGAUUCCGUAGCUGGGCUGCAGCACCGUCCCUGGAGAGCACAUGACAGGAAUGCAUGUUGGGCAGGAUGUGAAGUUGAGCCCUGGGCUGAAGCAAACUUAACCCCACCUGCGGACAGGACACUUCUGAAGCCGCUGCCUCGGCUUCCACCAGAAGCUGCAUCUCUGUGCUGCUAGAGAUGGAGAGCCCUGUCUUAGCUGGUUCAGUCGGGGCUGAGUAUUCAGCAGCUAAAGCUGCAUGUACUGUGACCUUCUGAGCCAAAGGCAGGGAAAGAUUGUUCAUUAUUAGUGUCUGGAAAUACAGUGAUUUUGGUAUGUGGUAUGUAAAGUAUUUUAAAAAAACAUAUAGUUUGAGUAAAACUGUUGGUGGUAGGCUAAAAGCUCCUUAAAAACAGGAAGCAUGACUGAAUCACUCUGGUUUCCUCCACUUUCCCAGACAGAAGAGUCACCAACGCAGCCUCCUUGCUCAGGCUGCGCUGCCCCAACUACAGUCAGGGACCCCCCCGCCUUCCCUCUGCUGGGAGGCACCAGCCACCUGUGACUAGUGUCCUGACACCUCCCAUGUCCCCAGCAGACACCUGCCACAGUUGCGUUCGGGGAGAACCCGAGCAAUUAGCCAGCAGCGCCCCCUGGCGCCUCUUUCACCGCAAGUGUUCGGCUCUCAACUUGUUCAACCACCCUCCACCCGCUCCACGGGCAACUUUUCCGGGAAGGCGCCUCCAAAGACCUCUGUGAGUAGCGUAGGCUGCUCUGCUCUGACAACCUCUUCGGGGUAAAUUUCUUUUCCAUUUGAACAGCUUCUCCUUAGUUAAGGAGAAACCGUUAUUGCCCGGUUGCUUUUUCGUCUUUUGGAUGGAGAGAAGCAGAGGAAUUCUGGGCGGAGGCCAACGAUUAGCUGCAACAUCUACUGAUCACUUCCAUGAAGUCUUUGAGCCUUUGUAUAAAUAAAACACCAGCCGGGGGCUCCUUCUGCUCCCAUUGAUGCCCGAGUGCCAACUACAGGUUUGACUCUGAGACCCUCCUUAAAAAAUUAGGAAAAAAAAUUUUUAAAACGUUUUUAAAUUGGAUUUUUAUUGCCUAAGGAGGGAUCUGUAAAAUACGUAGAGUGGGAAGAAUGCAGAUAAAUAAGACCUGAAAGUUGUCCUCAAAUAUAUCAAAGCCAUACUGGAUAGUGGACCUGCUGGAGAAUAGAAAAAUAAACUGUUGAAUGCC